rnacentral:rRNA from 1 species
UACGGAGGGUGCAAGCGUUAUCCGGAUUCACUGGGUUUAAAGGGUGCGUAGGCGGUUAUGAGGGUGGGAUGUGAAAGCCCCGGGCUUAACCUGGGACGUGCAUUCCAAACGCCAUAACUGGAGUAUGGGAGAGGGUGGCGGAAUUUCCGGUGUAGCGGUGAAAUGCGUAGAGAUCGGAAGGAACGCCAGUGGCGAAAGCGGCCACCUGGCCCAAUACUGACGCUGAGGCACGAAAGCGUGGGGAGCGAACAGG